rnacentral:tRNA from 1 species
AAGGAUAUAGCUCAGUGGUAGAGCACUUGGUCUAGCAUGCACCAGGCUCCUGGGUUCAAGCCCUAGUACUUUA